rnacentral:tRNA from 1 species
GGGGAUUUAGCUCAGUGGUAGAGCACUUGCCUAGCAAGUGCAAGACCCUGGGCUCAGUCCUCA